CUCAUUAUAAAAUAGUUUGAAAAUAACAGCAUCACCAAUUUCUUUAUGUUCUGAUCUUCAGUUUUUGGUGCAAGACGUGUACAUGAUAUGCUUGCUUCUCUAGCAUCCGCAGGCCAAAGGCUUAGAAUGUAGAACAGUUCCUUAGUACUUGUUUUGCAGGAAUUUCCUAGAAUGGUGCAAAAGGUCGGAGGCCAUUGUAGUACAUACAUACUUGUUAUAUAUAUAUAUAUAUAUAUGUACACUAGAGAGAUGAUGCCCCUGCUAAUGCAGGGGCCACACAUACCAAGUGUUCACGUAGUUUUUUUCCACUGCGACGGUGCUAGUAGACAUGGUGCAACGUAUCGGAACCUAAACAGAGAAAAUUAGAAGAUUUCCUAUACAAUACAUGUAUAAUAUACUAUUAUUUAUGAUAUUCCACAAAAAAUAAAAAGAUGAAAUAAUAUUUUUCCACAACCUAUCUAAGAGAAUGAGUAACUGCAUCUUUUUCAGCUCGUCAAAUUUUAUUGCAGAACUCUAUAGUUGCUCAAAACUGAUUGCUAUUAAGUUGUCCAGUCUUGUAAAUUUCA
rnacentral:lncRNA from 1 species